GGUGGUGCAAGGGGUCAGUGUGUCUGGCUGUUAACCAGAAGACCGGUGGUGUGAACCCACCCAGUGUCA